rnacentral:lncRNA from 1 species
CCUCCAAAAUGAAAUUCAGAACACGAACAAUCAGUUAGACCCAAAAUACUAAUCUUCUGGCCUUAUUCGAUCCAAUCUGAAUCACAUCCAUGCAAACCCAAAAGAUAAAAAGAAAAUCCUACCCAAAAUCAAUAAUAAUGCCAAGAAAAGCAAUCAUUUCUUUUUCUUUUUAAUAACAAACUCAAAAUGAAUUAAACAAAGCCGAAUAGAACCGAAGCAUCAUCAAAGACGUGAAAUCAAACCCAGAAAUCUAAAAUAAGUUACCAUAAUCAAAUGCAAUAAUGAAUCAAAUAAAUCACUGAUAAAUCAAACAUUUAGCAAAGAAGCUAAACCAGCUAAACAAACAAGUGAUGCUAAACAGACAAAUU